UUCCCUACGGGACGCAGCAGUGAGGAAUAUUGGUCAAUGGGCGAGAGCCUGAACCAGCCAAGUCGCGUGAAGGAUGACGGCCCUACGGGUUGUAAACUUCUUUUGUCAGGGAGCAAUUGGGUCCACGCGUGGGCUUAGCGAGAGUACCUGAAGAAAAAGCAUCGGCUAACUCCAUGCCAGCAGCCGCGGUAAUACGGAGGAUGCGAGCGUUAUCCGGAUUUAUUGGGUUUAAAGGGUGCGUAGGCGGGAAUGCAAGUCAGAUGUGAAAACUCAGGGCUCAA
rnacentral:rRNA from 1 species